rnacentral:rRNA from 1 species
UACGUAGGCAGCAAGCGUUGUUCGGAGUUACUGGGCGUAAAGGGUGUGUAGGCGGUUUUCUAAGUCUGGUGUGAAAUCUCCCGGCUCAACUGGGAGGGUGCGCCGAAAACUGGAAGGCUAGAGUGCGGGAUGGGAGAGUGGAAUUCCUGGUGUAGCGGUGAAAUGCGUAGAUAUCAGGAAGAACACCAAUGGCGAAAGCAGCUUUCUGGGACGGUACUGACGCUGAGACGCGAAAGCGUGGGGAGCGAACAGG